GCGCACCAGUCGAGAAACUUCACAAUGUGCGAAGCACGAUGAGGGAAUCCCAAGUGCUUGCACGUAAGUGUAAGCUGUUUCUCUGUCUAAAACGCAGAGAGAGUAAGGGCUGGGUAAGACGGGUGCCAGCCGCCGCGGUAAUACCUGCAGCUCGAGUGGUGACCGUUAUUAUUGGGCCUAAAACGUCCGUAGCCGGUUUAAUAAAUGCCUGGGUAAAUCGGACCGCUUAACGGUUCGAAUUCCGGGUAGACUGUUAAACUUGAGACCGGGAGAAGUUAGAGGUACUCCUGGGGUAGAGGUGAAAUUCUGUAAUCCUAGGGGGACCACCAGUGGCGAAGGCGUCUAACUAGAACGGGUCUGACGGUGAGGGACGAAGCCCCUGGGGCGCAAACGGGGAUUAGAUA
rnacentral:rRNA from 1 species